GGAUUGUGGCUCAGGGGCAGAGCACUCACCUAGCAUGCGCGAGGACCUGGGUUCAAUCCUCAGCACCA
rnacentral:tRNA from 1 species